UUUAUUAAUUUAUUUAAAUAAUUAUCAAUUAAAAAUUCCCAAAAUUAAAAUCCCUAACCCCAAAUCGCAACCCCCUUUCUUGUUCCCAAACUCUCAACUCGCCUGCCACGCCGCGACCACCAUCUCGCCGCCGCAAUCCGCUCUGCCUGCCACGCCGCGCCCCCCAUCUCGCCGCCCCUCUCCUCUGUCUGCUAAUCUUAGGCGUGGCUACCCGCACCGGCUGCCAUGCUGCGCCCAACGACUCGCCGCCCCUCUCAUUGUCGCGAACCCUAAGCGCCGUGACCAGCGCCGCCGGCCACGCCUCGUCCCCAAUCUCGCCGCCAAUGUCUUCGUCGCUAACCUCAGGCACCGCACCCCCGCUCUCGCGACCCCUGUCCUCAUUGCUAACCCUAGGCGUCGCCUCCCUCCCCCAUCGGUGAAAAGCUUUCCACCCGCCGCCUUCUCCGCCUGUCUUGGCUUCGCCUAGCUCGCCCUCUCAGAAGCAGAGCCCCUAAUUCAAAACCCUAGCCCAAAAUCAGACAGCAAAUGGGGUGAGGAAAAGGCCAGAAUCCUAGGCUAAAUUUUUGGUUUGAGGAGUUGAUGUGAGUAACAAGGGGACCGUUGGGGAGCUGAAGCAAGCUGUUGAAGCAGCUUUUGAUCAUUUGCCAAAAGGGGGGACUGGCAGAGUUUCAUGGUCACCCUUCGAUGCUGAUCAGACGUAUCUCAACCGUAAAUCCUUCCCCCAAAACCUGAAUCGCUGUAGGUAAGUAUACGUAUUAGUGUCGAAGUCGGAACAGUUGUCGUUUCUUAAGAGUGUUUUUGUAAUCCGAACGAUCAUUGCUUGAUAUACGAUUGGCGUUGUGGAUUCUGUUUGGUUCAAUAGCUCUGCAGCUGCGGCUGGAGUGCCGGAACUUGCGCACAAGAUCAUUUAUCGGUGGAAUGAAGGUACUCGUGCUGAAUUUUGUGGCUGUGUGUGGAUGAGUGCUUUUAUUACGCCACUUGCUAAAUUUAAACACAUACUUUUGUUUUUUUAAACUUUGGUGUUCAUAUUAUUGUCUAUUAUUGUAUUCGUUAGUUGUGCACUGUGUAUAUUAUUAUGCAGCUUCUUUUGAGGUGCGGCAGUUGUACAAGACAUUUGUGGCGGCUGUGGCAUCGGAGGAGUUUCAGCAAGUGGUAGUACAAGCGUAUAGACUAUCCAGUGGGACUUCUGAAUCUGAAGAGAGACAGGGAUAGAAGAAUUUUGUCAAAAAAGUGAUGCUUUCUUCUAUAUUAUUUUUAGUUGCUACAAUUAUGUUUAAAGUACAAUGCAAAAAAUUCUUAAAUUAUUGUAAUGACUAUUGAAUAUUGAACUCGCGUUAAAUUUAUGUAUUUUGAUUUGUGUUUAUUAA